rnacentral:rRNA from 1 species
UGCGUUGGGGCGUCCUAUAAUGCAGUCGAGCGAGCAGAACCAGCAGAUUUACUUCGGUAAUGACGCUGGGGACGCGAGCGGCGGAUGGGUGAGUAACACGUGGGGAACCUGCCCCAUAGUCUAGGAUACCACUUGGAAACAGGUGCUAAUACCGGAUAAUAAAGCAGAUCGCAUGAUCAGCUUAUAAAAGGCGGCGUAAGCUGUCGCUAUGGGAUGGCCCCGCGGUGCAUUAGCUAGUUGGUAAGGUAACGGCUUACCAAGGCAAUGAUGCAUAGCCGAGUUGAGAGACUGAACGGCCACAUUGGGACUGAGACACGGCCCAAACUCCUACGGGAGGCAGCAGUAGGGAAUCUUCCACAAUGGACGCAAGUCUGAUGGAGCAACGCCGCGUGAGUGAAGAAGGUUUUCGGAUCGUAAAGCUCUGUUGUUGGUGAAGAAGGAUAGAGGUAGUAACUGGCCUUUAUUUGACGGUAAUCAACCAGAAAGUCACGGCUAACUACGUGCCAGCAGCCGCGGUAAUACGUAGGUGGCAAGCGUUGUCCGGAUUUAUUGGGCGUAAAGCGAGCGCAGGCGGAAGAAUAAGUCUGAUGUGAAAGCCCUCGGCUUAACCGAGGAAUUGCAUCGGAAACUGUUUUUCUUGAGUGCAGAAGAGGAGAGUGGAACUCCAUGUGUAGCGGUGGAAUGCGUAGAUAUAUGGAAGAACACCAGUGGCGAAGGCGGCUCUCUGGUCUGCAACUGACGCUGAGGCUCGAAAGCAUGGGUAGCGAACAGGAUUAGAUACCCUGGUAGUCCAUGCCGUAAACGAUGAGUGCUAAGUGUUGGGAGGUUUCCGCCUCUCAGUGCUGCAGCUAACGCAUUAAGCACUCCGCCUGGGGAGUACGACCGCAAGGUUGAAACUCAAAGGAAUUGACGGGGGCCCGCACAAGCGGUGGAGCAUGUGGUUUAAUUCGAAGCAACGCGAAGAACCUUACCAGGUCUUGACAUCUAGUGCCAUCCUAAGAGAUUAGGAGUUCCCUUCGGGGACGCUAAGACAGGUGGGUGCAUGGCCUGUCGUCAGCUCGUGUCGUGAGAUGUUGGGUUUAAGGUCCCGCAACGAGCGCAAACCCUUAUUAUUAGAUGCCAGGCAUUAAGUUUGGGCACCUCCUAAUGAGACUGCGGUGACAAACCGGCAGAAGUGGGAAUGAACGUCCAGUUCAAUCAUGCCCCAUUAUUGAACCUUGGGGUCUACCACCACCGUGUGUUCU